rfam:Gossypium raimondii Chr03_contig_15, whole genome shotgun sequence.
UGUUAAAAAUUUUAUUUAUUUUUAUUGUUAAAAAUUGAUGUGGUUGAUGGAAUAACUAAACAGUUACACGUGGUGUGUUACGUAUACCUUAUUCUAACGGAUAGAAACCGGCAUUGUAAUAGUAGAAAUUAGUGAAAAUUUCAAUA